CCUAAAAAAAUGUUAGGUAAUUGCAACAUUUCUCGGCUUUUAGGCAUGCUACGGCAUAUCUAGCUUAUGUAACCCAAUACUUUCAUGGUAUAUAAAAGGGAAUAAGUAUUAAAUACUGGCACAAAACAAUUAGCAAUGUAUACUAAGGUGUUUCUACUAGCUGUCCUUUUUAGCCUGCUGGGAGCAGUCCUCUCCAGUUUUCCAGGUGUGUGCAACAAACUCCCGAAUUCGAAAUGCUACUGAAUGGAAAUAAAUUAAUAAGUAAAAUGAAGUUUAUGCUUUUGCAAAAUAAAGAAUAAAGAAAAUGUAUGUAAAUCUA